GAUGAACGCAGGCGGCGUGCCUAAUACAUGCAAGUCGAGCGAACGGACGAGAAGCUUGCUUUUCUGAUGUUAGCGGCGGACGGGUGAGUAACACGUGGAUAACCUACCUAUAAGACUGGGAUAACUUCGGGAAACCGGAGCUAAUACCGGAUAAUAUUUUGAACCGCAUGGUUCAAAAGUGAAAGACGGUCUUGCUGUCACUUAUAGAUGGGUCCGCGCUGCAUUAGCUAGUUGGUAAGGUAACGGCUUACCAAGGCAACGAUGCAUAGCCGACCUGAGAGGGUGAUCGGCCACACUGGAACUGAGACACGGUCCAGACUCCUACGGGAGGCAGCAGUAGGGAAUCUUCCGCAAUGGGCGAAAGCCUGACGGAGCAACGCCGCGUGAGUGAUGAAGGUCUUCGGAUCGUAAAACUCUGUUAUUAGGGAAGAACAUAUGUGUAAGUAACUGUGCACAUCUUGACGGUACCUAAUCAGAAAGCCACGGCUAACUACGUG
rnacentral:rRNA from 1 species